GAAGAUAUUAGGUGGGAGUUUCGCACCAGUAAUAGGUACUCUGGAGUGAGUUGGGAUCCUACUGGAGGUACGUCUCCUACGCCAUAUUCAACAGGAGGGUGAUUGAACUUCCAUAGCUUUAGAAGAAGAGCAAAAGCAUUUGAAAACACAGCGUGGGCUGAUAUUUCUUCUCCUGUGGUCAGGGUCCAUGAGAUAUUCGGCACGCAUGAACCGAAAACCUCACAUAUUGUCAUUAAUGAACCAGCAAGCUCUGGAACCUGUUGAAGAUAAUGUCUCCAUUAGAUGAAGGUGAAUCGCUUUUUCGCACUCCCUCAUAAACAUUUCAUGGAUCGUAGAACUAUAUUUGAAGCAUUUCUUGAUCUUACAUGUUCUUUUAUUUCGAUUGUAAAUAAAUCAGGGCUCAUCGCAAAAUAGAACCUACAUAUAAUGUUGAUAAAUAUAGCGUAAAAGUGAACAUACCAAACCAUGGAGGGAGAAAAUCUGAACACAGUCAAC
rnacentral:lncRNA from 1 species